rnacentral:rRNA from 15 species
GCUUACGGCCAUACCACCCUGAACGCGCCCGAUCUCGUCCGAUCUCGGAAGCUAAGCAGUGUCGGGCCUGGUUAGUACUUGGAUGGGAGACCGCCUGGGAAUACCAGGUGCUGUAAGCC